GCCUACGGGGCGCAGCAGUGAGGAAUAUUGGUCAAUGGACGAGAGUCUGAACCAGCCAAGUAGCGUGAAGGAUGACUGCCCUAUGGGUUGUAAACUUCUUUUAUAUGGGAAUAAAACGUUCCACGUGUGGGAUUUUGUAUGUACCAUAUGAAUAAGGAUCGGCUAACUCCGUGCCAGCAGCCGCGGUAAUACGGAGGAUCCGAGCGUUAUCCGGAUUUAUUGGGUUUAAAGGGUGCGUAGGCGGACUGUUAAGUCAGCGGUAAAAGCCCGGGGCUCAACCCCGGCGAGCCGUUGAAACUGGCGGU
rnacentral:rRNA from 1 species